rnacentral:lncRNA from 1 species
UAAAAACCCCUGCCCUACCUGGCUAGGUGUGCUCUUGUGAUUGUGACUGACACAGGCAGCACCCUUUUGCAGAAGUAGAUGUGCGUUGCUGAGAAGUUUUCUCCCUAAGUUCUGGUUUUCUUUGCAGCACCCAGCAUUUGUUUCUAACACAGGGAAAGAGUGAGCUGUAAAAACCUCUCAAAUUCAAGAAAGCGUAAAGCAAAUUGAACAAUACGGGUGAGGAGCACGGACUAUUCUCUCAUGUUGAAUGUGGCACUUUUUACAUAUAAGCAGGAGAGCAACUACACCAAGAUUUUGGAAAACAUGUUAUGUAAGGUUAAUUGUGACCUCUAUGAUGGGGAUAUGAUAAAGAAGAAAAGUACCUCACAGUGAUGAUUGGCAUGUGAUCACUUAGCCAAUGAGAUAAGAGGCUGUAGAAAUGAUGUGAUAAUGACAUCUCCUGAGUUGCAGGUCCAUAUUAGAAGUAGAUAUGAAGUAAACAUUGAGCUUUCCUCAAAUUUAAUUAACAAGGUUUAUUAUAGAUACAGCUCAAAUUAGUUAAUUCAGGAAGCUUAUUUUGUAGAAAUUAAAACAUUAAUAAACACAUACAUUUAGAAAUAAAGAACUCGGCUGACCCUUUGACUCUUUGAAACAAGUGGCCUUCCAUGCUGUGAAAGAUUGUAGCCACUCUUUGAGACAUUGGAAUGGUGUCCAUUGCAUUUUAUCAAGUAACUAUAGGUCAGCCUGGGAAAUCUGCAGUUUCCUCAUCUCCUGUCACUGUGGUUGCUGUGAGAUUUUGUGUCAUCACUGUGCUGUCUUCCCUCUCCACAUGAAGUGAAUAUUUGAAGAGAAAACGAA